rnacentral:lncRNA from 1 species
AAUAAAGAAAGUUGCCGGCCGUGGCUGCCAUGGACAUGGCUGCGCUGGAGUCCGAGUCAUCGAUGAUGGGAGAACACCAGGGUUCCCUUGUGCUGGCCAUCCUGUCGUCCAUCCUCCUCUUUGUCAUCACGCUGGUGUUCAAUGGUCUGGCGGGACCUGGAAUAUAUCCAUUUCUGGGGACAACGGCCAACAUAUCAGGGGAGUAUGAGACGGAGAUCACGCCUGCAGGCUGGACCUUCGCCAUCUGGUCUCUUAUAUACGUGUGGCUGGUCCUCAUGUUCGUCUACAUCCUCUCCGGCUGCUGCAGGAAAAACUCCUACGGCUAUGUGUACUGCAGUCCUCCUGUCCUUUCACAUGGCUUUUUCAUGGCAUGGUGCAUGAACAUGGGCUUGAACACUGCAUGGCUGUUUCUGUGGGAUAGAAGCUUGAUGAUCGUUGCCGCUGUGUUCCUUCUCCUGAUUGCCGGCUCAAACUACAUCAUGAUCUCCUUCGCCUGCCGCGGUCUCCAUGUUCACGGCGCGUGGCUCAGCAAAUAUCACAGACUCGAUCUUUGGCUGCACCGUGUGUGUGUUCAGAAUGGUCUGGCCUUGUACGCUACAUGGACAACGGUCGCCACUCUUGUUAAUCUGACCAUUGUGCUCGACUACGAUGCAGAGAUGCUUCCAGAGAACGCUGCCACAGUCACUCUAUCCGUGCUUACGUGUAUUUUGCUGGCCUGGUGUGUUUUAGAGAACUGGGUCCUGGAGAGGCAUGUGCGCUACAUCGUGACAGUGUAUCCAGUGGUGAUCUGGGCCCUCUGUGGGGCCGUGUCCAGCCACUUCGACCCCAGCGCACCCAGCCAGAGUGGCCUCUUCCUAGUGGCGCUCCUGGCCCUGUCCUGCGCGCUGUGUGCUGUGAAGCUUGGCCUGGCGGUCUGGAGGCACGUCAAGCGGCCCCUGUAUCAAGACGUGAAGGCAGAGGACAUGGAGCCCAUGGAAAUUGCUCAAAGACAGAAAAAGAUUUUUAAAUGAACAUUGUUGCACUUAACCCAGAAGAUUAGACACAACAUCCGAAUUAAUGAUAUAUUUUGCAUACUUUUGUAUUUAUAAUGACUUUUGCGUAUUUUGUGUCAAUUGUGUGUUUGGCUCAAAGCCCAAUUUUGUGUCAUUUGUAUUUUUAACGAAGUUGAAAAAAAAAACAAAUAUGUGCUUUAGUACAUUCUGUUGAACAAAUAAUAUAAAUAAUGUUGUAAAUGUUGUUGAAUGAUUUUCUUUUUGUAAUGUGAAAAUAAAAC